UACGGGGGGGUAAGCGUUGUUCGGAAUUACUGGGCGUAAAGGGCUCGUAGGCGGCCAACUAAGUCGGACGUGAAAUCCCUCAGCUUAACUGGGGAACUGCGUCCGAUACUGGAUGGCUUGGAUUCGGGAGAGGAAUGCGGAAUUCCAGGUGUAGCGGUGAAAUGCGUAGAUAUCUGGAGGAACACCGGUGGCGAAGGCGGCAUUCUGGACCGACAUUGACGCUGAGGAGCGAAAGCCAGGGGAGCAAACGGG
rnacentral:rRNA from 1 species